rnacentral:misc_RNA from 1 species
GAUGAAGAACGCAGCGAAAUGCGAUAAGUAAUGUGAAUUGCAGAAUUCAGUGAAUCAUCGAAUCUUUGAACGCACCUUGCACCCUUUGGUAUUCCGAAGGGUAUGCUCGUUUGAGUGUCAUUGUACUCUCACACUUCUAAUUCCUUUCGGGAUUGGGAGCGGUGGACUUGGGUGUUGCUGCUUUAGUUGUGGCUCACCUCAAAUAAGUUAGUGCAACUCUUGGUUGGACAUAGUACGGCGUGAUAAGUGUCUUCGCCGGCACCUCGCAAGAGGGUGGCCGAUCGGGAGCUCUGUGCUUUCAAACCGUCUUCGGACAAUUUCUGACAACUUGACCUCAAAUCGAGUAGGACUACCCGCUGAACUUAAGCAUAUCAAUAAGCGGAGGA